rnacentral:pre_miRNA from 1 species
GAGACACCCCUUAGGAGCAGGACUUGCUUCAGUGAGGCUUUGGUGCUCACUGAGUCUGCCCCUUAAAUGUGUUGAU